rnacentral:lncRNA from 1 species
AAUAUGAUAAGGGAGCUACCAUUUGAUUUUUAUGGGGGGGCUAGGAUGAAAUUUGAAAAAAAUAGGCAGGACAGGAGUUUUGAGUAAAAAAAAAAGGCAGGAUGAGACACUUGCAAAAAAAAAAGUCAGGACGACAAUUUAGGUAAAAAAAAGUCAGGAUAAACUUUAAAAAAAAAAGGCAGGACCGAACAGAGUGAAAAAUAAAAAAGGCAGGACAGAGAUUACAGCUAAAAAAAAAUGCAGGACAAAAUUUUUCAUCCUAGCCCCCCCAUAAAAAUCAAAUGGUAGCUCCCUAAGUAUCAUG